rnacentral:rRNA from 1 species
CUACGGGUUGCAGCAGUGGGGGAUAUUGCACAAUGGGCGAAAGCCUGAUGCAGCAACGCCGCGUGAAGGAAGACGGUUUUCGGAUUGUAAACUUCUAUCAGCAGGGAAGAAAAUGACUGUACCUGACUAAGAAGCCCCGGCUAACUACGUGCCAGCAGCCGCGGUAAUACGCAGGGGGCAAGCGUUAUCCGGAAUUACUGGGUGUAAAGGGUACGUAGGCGGCUGAUCAAGUCAGAUGUGAAAGCCCGGGGCUCAACCCCGGGACUGCAUUUGAAACUGGUUGGCUAGAGUGCAGGAGAGGAAAGUGGAAUUCCUAGUGUAGCGGUGAAAUGCGUAGAUAUUAGGAAGAACACCAGUGGCGAAGGCGGCUUUCUGGACUGUAACUGACGCUGAGGUACGAAAGCGUGGGGAGCGAACAGGAUUAGAUACCCUCGUAGUC